CAGGUUAAGAGUUAGGCAUCUCCUUGAGAUGUCCUUAUUUGCUUAGGUCCUGCAUGAAAGCACAUAGUGCCCUAGCUCUUUUGAAAAGCAGGAAAAUCCUGAAAGAAAGCAACACAGAGCUUUCUCCAUUGUGAGGUAGUGAGGAGGGGAUUAGGACACUAGGUGAGAAAGGACAGGCCUAGACAAUGAAGCAAGGGGCGAGUGGGUGGAUGGGUAAAACCACCUGCUCCUCAAAACAGCCAGGCUCUGAGAUGAAGCAGGAAUCUGCACUUAAACCGAGGCUGGAUCCAUCCUAGGGAUUCAAGCCUGUGUUGUCAAGCGAAAACAGAAAAGAGAAGGGAAUUCCACCUUUGCCCACUGAGAACACAUCUAUGCUGAGAACACAUCUACCCAACUCCUCUGUCACAACCCCUGUGAGAAGGUUCUGCCAUCUCCCAGCCCUGAAGAUUGUGAGCUCCCUGAUGGCCCUGGGCCUCCCUCCCGACAGCUGAGGCCCUUCCUGGAUCUCUACACGUCACCAAGCUAAGCCAGUGUUCCAAAAUAGUCUCCUGAACAAUGAUGACAACUGCACAGUUAUUUUGGAAGAACUUCCUGGCAGUGAUGGCAGUGGAACAUUGGAAACAGAGAUGAACAGGAGGUGGGAAGAGGAGGCUAAGUACAUGUAGGCCUAAAAGUCUCUGCCUUGGGAGAUUUUUAACAGUCCUGGAUGGAGGAGAAACAAGAUCUUAUAUUGGACACUGAUUCAUAGCAUAUACAGCCUUCUGAGGAACUUCACUCCACCCCUGCAAGAAAUUGCCACCUAGCUGAUGUCAUAACUGAGACUUCAAAAUGCUAUUCCACUGUUUUAUCAAGCCAAUUGCUUCAGGAUGAUGGGGAAGAUAAUCAGACCAGCAAAUUCCACGAGCAUGGGUCCGUUGCUCUGUUUCUUUUGCUGUAAAGUGAGUUCCUUGAUCAGAAACAAUGCAAUGUGGAAUACUACA
rnacentral:lncRNA from 1 species